rnacentral:lncRNA from 1 species
GCUGAGGCCAAGGGUUCAGGUACGCAAAACCUGAACUAUUUUGUUUACAAAGUUGAUCUUUACAAAAUAGUAUCUUCUGCAUGUAUGAAAACAUGGUAGGAUUAUCUUUAGAAUAAUGUGAAAGCAUGCUCACACACACACACACAUGUAUGAGAGCAGCAUUCUGCCUUCUUCUUCUCUUCACCAACUCCAUAAACGUAUUUAUUAGAUAGUUACUGAUGGUCAAGUCUCUUUGAUGAAACUGACAGACAGUGGCUACACUUUAAACCUUUUUGUCAGAUGAUUACCUGAGCUAAUUGGGUUUUGUAGGUGCAGUGUCUAGUACGAAGAGGAGAGAAGCACUGAUAGACGAUGUUAUCGGAUGCGCUUCAUCCAAAGUGACAACGAGUAUAGAUAGUGCGGUUCUUAAUGCAGGAGGUGCUGCUAGAGGUAAGAGAAGCGAGAGAGAAGACAGUUUCAGGAACAAGAACAAACCGAAACCGAAAGAAAAGAAUAAUAACGAAAACCAAACAAGAUCAACGACAACAACUCACCCGACAGGUCCAGCAGGCAGAGGCACCUCGAACCGAGGAGGGACCUCUGGAGAUGGUGCAGUAGAUGAAGAAGCUCCCAUAGAUUUCUC